UACGUAGGGUGCGAGCGUUAAUCGGAAUUACUGGGCGUAAAGCGUGCGCAGGCGGUUUUGUAAGCCAGAUGUGAAAGCCCCGGGCUUAACCUGGGAAUGGCAUUUGGGACUGCAAGGCUUGAGUGCGGCAGAGGAGACUGGAAUUCCUGGUGUAGCGGUGAAAUGCGCAGAGUAUCAGGAGGAACACCGGUGGCGAAGGCGGAUCUCUGGGCCGAUACUGACGCUGAGGAGCGAAAGCGUGGGGAGCGAACAGG
rnacentral:rRNA from 1 species